rnacentral:rRNA from 1 species
AUUGAACGCUGGCGGCAGGCCUAACACAUGCAAGUCGAACGGUAACAGGAAGCAGCUUGCUGCUUUGCUGACGAGUGGCGGACGGGUGAGUAAUGUCUGGGAAACUGCCUGAUGGAGGGGGAUAACUACUGGAAACGGUAGCUAAUACCGCAUAACGUCGCAAGACCAAAGAGGGGGACCUUAGGGCCUCUUGCCAUCGGAUGCGCCCAGAUGGGAUUAGCUAGUAGGUGGGGUAACGGCUCACCUAGGCGACGAUCCCUAGCUGGUCUGAGAGGAUGACCAGCCACACUGGAACUGAGGCACGGUCCAGACUCCUACGGGAGGCAGCAGUGGGGAAUAUUGCACAAUGGGCGCAAGCCUGAUGCAGCCAUGCCGCGUGUAUGAAGAAGGCCUUCGGGUUGUAAAGUACUUUCAGCGGGGAGGAAGGGAGUAAAGUUAAUACCUUUGCUCAUUGACGUUACCCGCAGAAGAAGCACCGGCUAACUCCGU